rnacentral:rRNA from 1 species
GGACGAACGUUGGCGGCGUGCUUAAUACAUGCAAGUCAACUGAAGCAGUGGUAGCAAUAUCGCUGUGGAGGUGGCGCACGGGUGAGUAACACGUAGGUAAUCUGCCUUCAGGUCUGGCAUAACUCCGGGAAACCGGGGCUAAUAGCAGAUGAUGCAGCGGCUCGACAUCGAGACAGUUGUUAAAGCUAUGGCGCCUGAAGAUGAGCCUGCGUCUGAUUAGCUAGUUGGCGGGGUAACGGCCCACCAAGGCAACGAUCAGUAGCUGGUCUGAGAGGAUGAUCAGCCACACUGGAACUGAGACACGGUCCAGACUCCUACGGGAGGCAGCAGUAAGGAAUAUUGCUCAAUGGGAGAAAUCCUGAAGCAGCAACGCCGCGUGAGGGACGAAGGGCUUUGGCUUGUAAACCUCUGUAGUGAGAGAAAAAAAUACCAAUCUUUGGGACAUGAUGGUAUCUCAAAAGUAAGCCCCGGCUAACUACGUG